UCGGCUCGGCUCGUUUCGGACGGGCUCGGCUCGGCUCGGCUCGUUUCGGACGGGCUGGGACGGGUUCGGCUGGGCUCGGACGCGCUCGGCGCGGCUCCGCUCCGAGAGAGCCCGCGCUCUGGGCCUUCCCUCACCUGUGGAAAGGUGGAGAGGUUGCGCGAGAGUUGAAGAGAAAUCACACUUCGUCUAGUAUAACCCAAAAAAUGGGCUCUUGGCGCAGCUUGUAAAAUAUGUUCUGUGACAGAGAUGACAAAAUUGAAAUGAAAAACCGUAAAGAAAUGAUGCCAUAAUAGAAAAGGAAUACGUGCUUAGUACUGACAUAAAUUCAGUCCUCUGCAGCGCAGUGGGGCGAGGGAUGAGGAGGCAGAGUUCUAUGAAAGCUCUGUUAAUGCUUUAUUAGCUAAUUUAUUACAGGGGAAAACUGCCACAUUUUUAAAAAAUCAGAAGGGACUUGUCAGACAUACGGUGGGCCUUGCGUGUAAGGUGCUGGAUUUAAGCGCAGUUGGAUGUGUGUUUGAGCCUUGGUAAUACAGCUGCAGCCGGUGGCCUUGGCUGAGAGCCCUGCGCUGCGCCAUGGCUUGGCUGGGCCUCACAGGGGGGCCAACAUGUUUACCUGGGGUGGUCUCUAUAAGAGGUACGUAUCUCUACAAGUAAUCAGAUUUAAUAAACCUGCAAAUGUGUAUUACACUAUCUUUGCAUGGGCCAAUUCUUAACCUCUCUCUGGGGGGAAGGUCUGCAUCGCUCUGCAGUCGCUCGGUCAGAAACGAUCCGCUGAGUCAGUUUUAGUACCACAUGGGCAUGCAGAAUUAAAACCCAAAACCAGGCUGCAGAGUUAUUGUGCCACAUCAGGAAGAGAAAAUGACAAACAUAUUUAUGCAAUGUCAGAAGAAGGAAGUAAACACGCUGAUGAGGGGAACAGUGAAAGACUCCCAAAAUAAUUACUGUCUCUGAUGAGGGUUUGGAAUUCCAGAAAGCUGAGGGAAAAGGGAGUGUCUUAAUUAGCUCCACUUUUGCCGUACAUACGUUGAGUGUGUCACUGAAGAUGUUUUCCCUCCUCCCAAAGAUCAGGCAAACCCGUGAUCAUAGAAAUGUUUGUUUCCUCUUUAAAAUACAUUAAGUUCCUAAUUUCAGGACAGGCUGGAAAUAUCUCCAUUAAAUAUGUCCCAGUGGGUUCUCUCCUCCUAGGUACAGCUUUGAAUUCAGUGGUUUUCUCUAGGUGUUUAUUUGCUGUUAAGAUGAAUAAGGAAGGAUACUGAAGGUUUUAUUCUUGAAACAGAAAUGUUUUUUUCCAGAAGUACCUGAUUAAAAACUGUUUGCAGGAGGUGCAGUUCCACCCCGAAGGAUGUGCUUGGGGAGGGGGGAUGGAACAUCUUUCCCAUGAUUACAGCACAUUAACUUGACAUACAAAAGAAGGUCCCAACCUGACAUGAUCAGACUGGUGCAGGGCUCAGCUGCCACUUUAAGUGGUUCUGUCCGCCUGUAAUAGAAAAAGAAAAACCAGAAACCCUCCUGUGUAGAAUUCCUGCUGUUGCCCUGAUGGAGUAAGUUUAACCUUUUUGUAAGUAAAUGUACAGGUGAAAGGUUUGAGUUUGAACAUGCUGUCUUUGCUCACCUGGCCUAUGUUUUGCCUACAGGUUCAUCUCACUCAUAGCAGAACAGCAGCAGUGGUCCAUGAGUAACCACAGACAUAAAUCCACAAUGAAAAAAGUUACAUUAAAAACAAUAUCUUGCUGUCCUAUUUCUAAAACAACUUUUUCUGCUGCUGUCAUGAAAAACACUGUUAAUUAUGCUUAUAUGUUUCCGAUGCUUUUUAAUGAUUUGUUUGCUCAUUAGCCAAGGGAUCCAUAUACCAGGAAUGGAAAACCAGAAAGUCAAAAGCAGCCUGUCCUGUUUCCCGCAGUAGAAGUUUGGAGAAGCAAAGGAAGGGAGUAUGCUAUAACAAUAAACGUAACAAGGCUCUCUAUACAAGACCACAGAGAAGAAGAAGGAAGUAAUCAGCAAACCAGAGGAAGGGACCCCAGAAGUACAAGAUAUCAAUGAAAUACCACUAAACCCCUUCUCAAUGAAACAGCCAUGUGCUAGGAGAAUUUACUUGAGAGGCUGUCUGAGGCCAAGAGUCUCUCAACACUCCUCUCCUUAUCUUCCAAGGCUUAACUUGCUAUGCUUCAGGAGAUAUGUAAGAUUUUGCAUCUGAGGAUUGUGCUUGAGUGUCUGUGAAUGAGACAUGCAAGCUUGAAAAAACCCACAGUGAAAGGAUGGAUCUUCAGUGUAAUAUUUGCAGUACUAUGAUGUAACUUCAGGCUUUUUUAAAAACAAUAUGCAAAUGGCAGUCAGAUUUAUGAAUGUUAUUUUUAAUAGAAAGAAUGUUCCCAUAAGUAAUUAUGAAUUUUUAUCUGUCUAAAGGAGUACAGAAAAAAAAAAUUAAGAAAGCCCAUGGGUUUUCCUAUGUUGGGUAGCCCUAUAGUAAAAAGGCUAUCACCCAAGAAAUUAAAUUUUAAAAGGCAAAACUUCAACUAGAUUUUCAAAAACUCAGUAGAAACACCGUUUCAGUAAUUCCUGGCCUGAGCAAAUGGGUAAGUUGUGAUGAAUAAAUAUUGUGAGUUAUGACCAAGAAUAUUGGGGGGUAUAAUUGAGACCUUGUACUUUCCUCUUAGUAAUGAGCUGC